UACGGGGGGGGCAAGCGUUGUUCGGAAUUACUGGGCGUAAAGGGCUCGUAGGUGGCCAACUAAGUCAGACGUGAAAUCCCUCAGCUUAACUGGGGAACUGCGUCUGAUACUGGAUGGCUUGAGUUUGGGAGAGGGAUGCGGAAUUCCAGGUGUAGCGGUGAAAUGCGUAGAUAUCUGGAGGAACACCGGUGGCGAAGGCGACAUCCUGGACCGGUAUUGACGCUGAGGCGCGAAAGCCAGGGGAGCAAAGCGGG
rnacentral:rRNA from 1 species